rnacentral:sRNA from 1 species
AUUCGCUCGUUUACCGUCGAUUAAGCUUUCGGCUUUAUGACUGGAACUGUCCUCGUUUGGACACCGAGUGGCUCCUGUCCACUCUGUUUGACGCCUCCCUGUUAUCAACUUUCAAAGCCGCCGGUCUUCCGGCGGCUCUUUUUUG